GACAGAGGGUGCAAACGUUGCUCGGAAUUACUGGGCGUAAAGCGCGUGUAGGUGGAUUGGUGUGUCAGAUGUGAAAGCCCUGGGCUCAACCCAGGAACUGCACCUGAAACUACCAGUCUUGAGUGGUGGAGAGGGAAGUGGAAUUCCUGGUGUAGAGGUGAAAUUCGUAGAUAUCAGGAGGAACACCAAUGGCGAAAGCACUCUGCUGGGCCGACACUGACACUGAGAGACGAAAGCUAGGGGAGCAAAUGGG
rnacentral:rRNA from 1 species